AAUGAUUGAUAGGGACGGUUGUGGGUGCUAGUAUUCAGCGGCCAGAGGUGAAAUUCUCGGAUUCGCUGAAGACUAACUUAUGCGAAAGCAUUCACCAAGGAUAUCUUCUUUAAUCAAGAACGAAAGUUGGGGGAUCGAAGACGCUCAGACACCGUCGUAGUCUCAACCAUAAACUAUGCCGACUAGGGAUGAGAAAAAGUUGCAUUUUCGACUUCAUUCGCUCCUUAUGAGAAAUCAAAGUCUUUGGGUUCCGGGGGGAGUAUGGUCGCAAGGCUGAAACUUAAAGGAAUUGUCGGAAGGGCACCACCAGGAGUGGUGCCUGCGGCUUAAUUUGACUCAACACGGGAAAACUUACCAGGUCCAGACACAGUAAGGAUUGACAGAUUGAAGAUCUUUCUUGAUUCUGUGGGUGGUAGGGCAUGGCCGUUACUUAGUUGGUGGAGUGAUUUGACUCGUUAACCCCCAUAACCCACGUGACCCCGACCUG
rnacentral:rRNA from 1 species